rnacentral:lncRNA from 1 species
UACUUCUCCCUGGAGAAGCUCGAGGAAGCAGAAAUGCUGGAGAUGAGACCCAGCACACCCUGCCUGCAUGGCGCUGUGCUGCACCUUCACUCUGGUCACGGGUCUGGCAGUCGGCUCACCAAUUCCUCCCGCUUCCCUGGGACUCGCCGGCUUUUAGCACUGCAAUUCACUCAGCAAACUGGGACUGUUGGUCACCCUACCUGGCAGCCAGUGAUAAGGUGAGGGCCACUCCUGGGAGGGAGGACACCUGUGGGGAAAAUUCUUGUGUUAUUUAUUUCUCCUUCAGGAUAGGGUGCCUGCAGCGCUUCAUGGGAGGGGGUGGGCUGAUGCUGCGGACUCAGAAGUUUCAAGGGCAUCUGGGGAGACCAGAUAUUCAGAGACCUUCUCCUAGAUGUGCCUGUUCCAUGUAUCAGGGACGCAGGUUUUCCCAACAGGGCUGGUGUCGUUGGCAUGACAGACCUGCCUUGGCUGAGCGUUCACCCGUCUUUGGAGUUCAGCCACCUUAGCAAGUCCUGGGUUUGUUCUUCAGACUUUGCUGCUCGCCCAUUGCCUGGAUCGGGGGCUACUUUGUAAACCACCAGGAAGACUCCAGUGUUUCUGCUUAAUUUUUAGAUGUUUGUUAAUUGCUCUUGGUCUCUCAUUAAUCCCCUGUGGGUCAUCCAGGAAACAUACUCACCACUGUCUGUUCUCUGAGUUUUCAUUUCCAGGCAUCCGCCCUGCCUGGAUCUCCUCACCUGCCAGGAACUUCCUCUCCACAAGCCGGCCAUCCCAGCAAAAGUUCUAACACCAAAGGUCUGGCAACUAGCCUGCCAUCUUGUGCCUGGAGCCGCCUGCGUGCCACCUACUCCCGAAGAUGGGAACCUUGUUGCCAGUUGGGCAGAUGCGGGGCAAUCCUGUACCAAGACCCCAUUUUACCACCUGCUUUCUCAGACCACUCUGGAACCCACUGUCUCAGAUUGUGUCCUCCAGGAAGCAGACCAUGAGAGGGAGUUGGCAGGGCCAAAGAUUUACUGGGGCUAACUAACACUCAGGAAAGGGAUAGGAAGGAAACAGGGCUGGAGAGCAGGUUGAGCCCGACCUGACAGUCUCGAGCAGCCCAACAGGGAGGUGUGGAGCAAGGGUUGCCCACUAGAGGGGCCUGCAUUGGGUACGGGUGAUGGGGUCCACAUGGUACCUGGCAUAUAGCAGGCUGUGCAAUCCAUAUUAACUGACUGGAUAAAUUAAUGCCCAGAAAAGGUGCCCUGGAGAAUGGGUGUGUGCUGAACACAAUAGGGAAGGGCCCAGCAUCUGCCUUGGCAUAGGCAGAACUGUGCUGUGCCCUGCAACAGGCCACCUGAGAGCUGCUUUGAUCUUGUGUGUGCAUUAGACGACUGCCAGGGGCAUGAAGGGGAUGUGCUUCCAGGGCAUUUGCUGGCAGGGCGUCUCGUGAUCUCUUGGUAUUGGUGUGAGCACAGCCUGGCAGGAGAGGGCAGAUCUCCGUGCAAAGUACGUCAGAAAGCAGAUGGAAGCCAGGCCCCCUCCUGAAAGAGGCUCCUUGAAGGUAGGUGUACACUCAUGUCUUUGUUACUUGUAAGGGGGCAUCUUACAGGCAAGAGGAGUUAGGUGAAUGUGAAGAGGAAGGAACUGCUCACUCUGGGCAGGGGGCUGGGGGAGGCUUCGUAGAGGAGGGGGUGUUUGAGCUGGGCCUUGAAGGUCAAAAGGGUUUUGUUAGGUGGGAAAUGGGGGAAGGACAGUCUGAAACGGUUAGGUACAUUCAAGGAGCCCAGAGAAGGUUCGUGGCUGGAGCAGACGCAUUCGUAGAGUGAAGUCAUGGGAGAAGAGGCUGGGAAACUAGAUUGGGUCCAACUCCUAAAGGACCACUGAAGGAGUGUGGGCUGCACGCUGGGUGCAGCAGGU